rnacentral:rRNA from 1 species
AACGUAGGAGACAAACGUUAUCCGGAGUUACUGGGCGUAAAGGGCGUGUAGGUGGUUGCGUAAGUCUGGCGUGAAAUAUCUCGGCUUAACCGAGGCAGGUCGUCGGAUACUGCGUAACUGGAGGACGGUAGAGGCGUGUGGAAUUCCGGGUGUAGUGGUGAAAUGCGUAGAGAUCCGGAGGAACACCAGUGGCGAAGGCGACACGCUGGGCCGUACCUGACACUGAUGCGCGACAGCAUGGGGGAGCAAACAGG